GCCCUUGUAGUUCAAUGGAUAGAACAAUCCCGUCCUAAGGGAUGGAUCUGGGUUCGAUUCCUAGCAAGGGCA
rnacentral:tRNA from 1 species